UACGGAGGAUCCAAGCGUUAUCCGGAAUUACUGGGCGUAAAGAGUUGCGUAGGUGGCAGAGUAAGUAGGUAGUGAAAGCGUUCGGCUCAACCGGAUACACAUUAUCUAAACUGCUCCGCUAGAGGAUGAGAGAGGUUAUUGGAAUUCCCAGUGUAGGAGUGAAAUCCGUAGAUAUUGGGAGGAACACCGAUGGCGUAGGCAGAUAACUGGCUCAUUCCUGACACUAAGGCACGAAAGCGUGGGGAGCAAACGGG
rnacentral:rRNA from 1 species